rnacentral:rRNA from 1 species
UACGUAGGGUGCAAGCGUUGUCCGGAAUUAUUGGGCGUAAAGAGCUCGUAGGCGGUGUGUCACGUCGGCCGUGAAAACCUGCAGCUUAACUGUGGGCGUGCGGUCGAUACGGGCAUCACUGGAGUUCGGCAGGGGAGACUGGAAUUCCUGGUGUAGCGGUGAAAUGCGCAGAUAUCAGGAGGGACACCGGUGGCGAAGGCGGUUCUCUGGGCCUGACCUGACGCUGAGGAGCGAAAGCGUGGGGAGCGAACAGG